UCUCUGCUUCUACCUCAUGAGCCCUGGGGAUCAAACCUACAUCAUCAGGCUUGGCAGCAAGUGUCUUCACCCACUGAGCCGUUUUAACGGCCCUUAAUUUCUUCUACUGUAUUUUUCUUGAUCAUUCAGAACGCUCUUGGUUCUACAUAGGGCUAUUUUUACCAUUUUUAAACCUUUAAUUAGGCACCAGGAAGAGAGCCUGUGAGAGGCCACCAGUGAACCUGAAAUGCAGUGGUAGUGGAAGGCCUCAGCCUUUUGGAGAUGCCAGCACCGUGGGCUGACCUCCAAGAGCAGCAGCAGUGGCGUGGAGGCAGCAGGAGCGUGGAAGGCAAGCUGUGUGCUGCAGAGAGCAGAGCCGGAGACAUGACUCAAGCUCCCCAGAGGAGCCCAGAGAGCGUGAGGAAAUCCCAGGUUCUCCUGUCCUCUCGGUUGGCCUCCAAGUGGCUGUGUAGCUGAGCCAGGCCACGAACUCACUUCUUCCUCUACCUUCCAAGCUCUGGAACUGCCGCUCGCUGGUCCUUACAUGGC